UACGUAUGGGGCAAGCGUUAUCCGGAUUUACUGGGUGUAAAGGGAGCGUAGACGGAGGAGCAAGUCUGAGGUGAAAGCCCGCGGCUCAACUGCGGGACUGCUUUGGAAACUGUUCAUCUAGAGUGUCGGAGAGGUAAGUGGAAUUCCUAGUGUAGCGGUGAAAUGCGUAGAUAUUAGGAGGAACACCAGUGGCGAAGGCGGCUUACUGGACGAUGACUGACGUUGAGGCUCGAAAGCGUGGGGAGCAAACAGG
rnacentral:rRNA from 1 species